rnacentral:rRNA from 1 species
CACCAGCGCCACAAGUGGUCAUCGCGAUUAUUGGGCCUAAAGCGUCCGUAGCCGGCUUGGUAAAUCCCUUGUGAAAUCGUUCGGCCUAACCGAACGGCGUGCAGGGGACACUGCUAGGCUCGAGACCGGGGAGGGGUCAGAGGUAUUCCAUGGGGACCGGUAAAAUGGGAUAAUCCAUGGAGGACCACCGAUGGCGAAGGCAUCUGACCAGAACGGUUCUGACGGUGAGGGACGAAAGCCAGGGGAGCGAACCGG